GUGGGUGACUGUGGGUAGGCAUAUGUCACAGUAGGACCUGGAGGUACAGUCAUGUUAGGUAGUAGGCUGCAGCCCUCCAAAACUUUAGAGUUCUGAUGUCCUGUAGAGUAGGUCAUCAUGUCCUUCUCUAUGAGAAGCAAUACUUUCGAGGAGAUCAUGGGUGAUGUCAGCUUUGAUGUUGACUCUCUGGAUGAGGAGAAAGAAGCUUAGGU